rnacentral:misc_RNA from 1 species
AACGCACGAGACCUGCGGACCUGCGGAGGGAUCAUUAUCGAGUUCUGCUCUCCGGAGCGUCCUCCCAACCCUUUGUUUACUUGACCACUUGUUGCUUCGGCGGACCGGUCUUCAGCUGACCGCCGGCACCUUGCAAAGAGGUGCUGGACAGUUGUCCGUCGAUGGCUCAAAUCAAAAACAUAUUCUUGUACCGAAACGUGUCGUCUAAAACAUUCUUGAUGUACAAUCAAAAACAAAACU